GGCGGCAUAGCCAAGUGGUAAGGCGAAGGUCUGCAAAACCUUUAUUCAUCGGUUCAAAUCCGAUUGCCGCCU
rnacentral:tRNA from 2 species